AUCAGGCAUGUCACAGAAUGUAAAAUCGUUCAAGAGUGAAAACGAAAACGGUUUUAGCUUCUCUAAAAAACGGAAAACGCAAAAAUUUUGCGUUUUGAUAUCACUUUCAAAAAGCAGGGUGAAAUUGAAAUGUUUAGUGAUUUUAACGUAAAAAAUAAACAGAAGACACAUACAUUUAACAGAAAAUAUUGUAUUAACCAAAUUCUCUUAGAAUGAACAUGUUUUUGGAAUUUAUUUUACAAAAAAUCUAUUAUUUUUCUAAUCCAUGAUGAAAACGCAAAAAAAUAUGCAGAAAUGAACGGCAGACUUGUAUUGUUGAAUUAUUGCCAUAUGUGUUGAAGAAGAAGGUGUAGAAAUGUACAACUGACAGACCAAAAAGCAAGAAAGGGGAAAAACAAAAAACAAUUAAUUGUUUGGUUUGAGACAGAGCGCUUCAGUCAAUCGGGCAAAAAUGGGCAAACACAGAAACGUUAAACAGGACAAAAUUUUUAUCAAUUUUAUGGAUAAACAUCACGAUAUUGCCAGGAGCUAUGUAAAAGGUGAUAAGGUUGUUGUUGAUUCUCUAUAGACGGAAUUGACAGCUUUGCUGAAUAGUUCAGGUCCACCAAGUAAAACCUGUAAAGAAUGGAAGAAAGUUUGGUCAGAUUGGAAAGGAAAUGUUAAGGCGAAGAUGUGCCAUAAUAAAAAGGACUUGCGAGGAACUGGUGGUGGUGAUAUCAAUCAAUAUGUUUUCAGUGAACACGAGAACAGUUUAAUCAGAAUUUGCGGAUUGUAUAAAAGUGUCGAUGGAGUUGGUGGUGCAGUAAGCUUUGCGGAUUUUGUAAGUGAAUUAGACCUCAGUUGUUCUGAAAAAGAAAACUUUGAUUCGUCAUCAUCUACACAUAUUCCAAGAACUCGAAAAUCAAGUCAAUUAGUUUUAAGUGAAUCUGAAAACGAAGA